UCAAAUUUAGCUGAAUGUGGAACUGAACUAAAAUGAGUUUGACAGCCCUGCUUCACUUGAAUAAUGUGAUAACUCCAGAAAUCAGAUGAUUGUUUUAUCGUCCAGCCUCGAAUGGAAAUGGGCCGUGACCCCUUCUUUGUGGUUGUUGUUUUUUUCCUGAAGAAAAUGUCCAUGCCCCCAUCUGUGGACACUUCCCCUUUAUGCAGUCCAGUCUCCACAACCACAACCUUUCACUGCCAGAAUAAUAAUAGAAGAAUAAAGAUCUCAACCACAGCCGUCAACAGGGUUUCAGCCACAGAGGGUUUACCCUCAUGACGCUUCAAACCUGCUUCAAACCUUUAAACAUUUCAUCACUUGAGCGUAGAAUAUGUAUCCUCCCAUAUCCGUCGUGCUGGACUUGUUUUUAUUGCAGCAGCAGAUUCCACAGUGGUGGGGGGGGGCUCAGAGUGGUGUUUGUGGUGUGAUUCUGUGCAGUUAUGGCGUGUGUGAUGUCAGUGAACAGCUGUAACUACUUCAAAGCUGCCUCACUGAUUAGAGCAUCAUUACCCUUUGAGGUUUGUCCAGAAAAAAAGCAGUAAAAGAUUUAGAGCUAAAACUACAAUGUGAAACUUCUCACCUCCAGGCACAGAAGCAAAUGUUAAGUUCCCACCCCAACACUUGUCACUCACCUUGAUGAGCUGUCUGCCUCCGAACAGCAUCUGGCCCAAGGCUAAGAUCACUGACAUCCCCCCCAUGUGCCACAGGCGGCGCAGAGGCAGGCAUUACUAAACCCAGAAAGCAAAGUUAAAAAAAAAAAAAAAAAAAAAGCAGAAGCAGCUGCGUUGAUGAUGCUCACUGUUUUCAAAUGUAAUUUUGCCUGAUGUGAGGCAAGCUGCGAUCUUUGUUCGGAGUCGCCUUUCAGCCUCUGCUCCGACAGGGACGGCACAAAAUCUGAAUACACACAGCAGAGUCAAUAGUCUCUUUUCUAUCGGACAUCUGCACAAAACUUUACCGAUAUUUACUAAAUGUCGAAAAAACAGAAGUGCAUAUUGUCAGUUUUUCCAUUCAGUCACAAAUGCGAUGAUUUGUUUAUUUAUUAUCGCAAGAUGUGACCAGAUGUCAUUCCAUAUCAGAGAUCACAGAUCAGCUGACGUCACAUAGCAACCGGGACCAUAAGUGACCGGACUACUUGCGGAGUGAUAUGAAAGAUGCGAAUCAGAGGUAAAACGCAGCAGUGCACUUUGUGAAAAGAAAAAAAUCGUGCCAGAGAAUCGUGAUCUCAGUUCCAACCGAAAAAAUCAUGAUUCACGUUUUUGCCAAAAUCGUACAGCCCUAGUCCAAAUUAUCCCAAAAACAGAUGUACUAGUAGUAGUAAAUAUGGACUACUUUUUUCUUUUAUGACUGAAGGUCUUCAUCUGUGGACUCAUUGCAGAGGAAGCCUUCACAUACCAGUCGGUUUUUACUGCACAUCCCAAUAACGACAAACGUCACCGUUUUCUUUUAUGUACUUCUGUACAUGCACUGACAGUUAACCUUUACAUAUUUUUUUACCAACUAAUCCUAAAGAGCUUCUCACAGAGUCACCACUUUAAGGUAAAACAUAGUCAGGAUUUUUUGGCUCCAGACUCUUUUUUUUUUUUUUUUUUUGCUCAAAAACGUCUCUGUAUAUAGUAAAGGUUGUCAACCCAUGCUCUAGUUUCUGUGUUUAACAUGUGGCUGAAUCAUAACCUAAACUACACCGGCCCAGACCGGCUCUAAUGUAACCCCAACCCUUAAAUGUGUCACCAAGGGUAUUAUCGUUAAUGAAAACUAAUGAAAUGACCAAAACUAGAAUUGAAAAAACAUUUUCAUUAACUGAAAUAAAUAAAAUUAAAAGAAGACUGAAACUG